GGGUCUCUCUGAUGAGGAAGAGGAUCCACCUCUGCAGAUGUGGGUCUGGAGGUCUUCGUAGGCAGCAAGUGGACCAUGGGCCGACAACAACAUGUCCUUGCAGCAAAGGCCAGCUGCAUCCUGGGGUGUAUUAAUAAGAAAGAAAACCAGGGCUACCUGUGUCCCAUCAGGAUUACCAGGAUCUGAUUCCUGACCAUGAAAAUCAGUGGAAAUAUUCACACUAACUGCAAGAAGAUUUGGAGGAGGCUUCAUAGUAAGAACAGGGUCAUGGGAUCAUAAGUAAUGAGAUAAAUAAAUGCCCACAUUUGAUCAAUCAUAAUGAUAGCUUGCUCUGUAUAGACUGAAACAUUCUGCCUCCUUCAACUGCAGCUAAGACUGGUUAAACACUAGAAAUUUUUAACUGUUUAAUAAAUAUUGCCAUUGUUACCUGAAUAAUUUAUGAGUAUGAAUACUGCAAAAAUAUUGAUUGAAUUAUAUUCAGUGAAAAAUGGCAAUAUUUACAGAAUAAUGUAUUCACAGAAUAGUGUUGACAAGGACCGCUUGCAAUGCAGACACUAGAGUCUUGUUCUACUUGAGAAGAAUGUUUUGAGAGAGAUGGAAGAAUUUAAUCUAUGUUCUUCCUCUAUAGUGCCAAAACUACUAGUACUUGUAACUGUCUAUCCAGAAAACAAUUAUUUUCGAUCAAUAUGUUCAGAUUUAAUACUUUUAAUAGUAAUUGUAUGUUCUUAUAUGCCAUUUUUCAUUCAGGAGUAAAAAAUCCCUUAGAAAAACUAA